rnacentral:rRNA from 1 species
AUUGAACGCUGGCGGCAUGCUUUACACAUGCAAGUCGAACGGCAGCGGGGUAGUGCUUGCACUACUGCCGGCGAGUGGCGAACGGGUGAGUAAUAUAUCGGAACGUACCGAGUAAUGGGGGAUAACCAAUCGAAAGAUUGGCUAAUACCGCAUACGUCCUGAGGGAGAAAGCGGGGGAUCGCAAGACCUCGCGUUAUUCGAGCGGCCGAUAACUGAUUAGCUAGUUGGUGGGGUAAAGGCCUACCAAGGCGACGAUCAGUAGCGGGUCUGAGAGGACGAUCCGCCACACUGGGACUGAGACACGGCCCAGACUCCUACGGGAGGCAGCAGUGGGGAAUUUUGGACAAUGGGGGCAACCCUGAUCCAGCCAUGCCGCGUGUAUGAAGAAGGCCUUCGGGUUGUAAAGUACUUUUGUUAGGGAAGAAAAGGGAAGUACUAAUACCACUUUUUGCUGACGGUACCUAAAGAAUAAGCACCGGCUAACUACGUG